CAAUAGCGUAUAUUAAAGUUGUUGCAGUUAAAAAGCUCGUAGUUGGAUUUCUGGUCGGAAGCUCCUGUCCUCUGAUGAGCGUACAAGUGCGUCCUACCAUCCUUCUGUUAACCUUUAAGGCUUUCGCGGCUUUCUAGGGGCUCAGAUAUUUUACCUUGAGAAAAUUAGAGUGUUUCAGGCAGGCUAGCGCCGGAAUACAUUAGCAUGGAAUAAUGGAAUGGGACUUUUGCCUCUUCUGUUGGUCAUGAGGCUCGAGUAAUGAUUAAUAGGGAUAGUUGGGGGCAUUAGUACUUAACUGUCAGAGGUGAAAUUCUCGGAUUUGUUAAAGACUAACUUAUGCGAAAGCAUUUGCCAAGGAUGUUUUCAUUAA
rnacentral:rRNA from 1 species